GAGAGUUCAAGAGUACGUGAAACCGUUCAGGGGUAAACCUGAGAAAUCCAAAAGUUCGAAUGGAGAGAUUCAGCGUCAGUGGCU
rnacentral:rRNA from 1 species